GAUGAAGAACGUAGCGAAAUGCGAUACUUGGUGUGAAUUGCAGAAUCCCGUGAACCAUCGAGUCUUUGAACGCAAGUUGCGCCCGAAGCCAUUAGGCCGAGGGCACGCCUGCCUGGGCGUCACACAUCGUUGCCCCCCCAUCUACUCCUUCGGGAUUGCGGGGGGCGGAUGAUGGCCUCCCGUGCGCCUCGUCGCGCGGUUGCCAUAAAUGCCAAGUCCUCGGCGACGCACGCCACGACAAUCGGUGGUUGCGAAACCUCGGUUGCCCGUCGUGUGCGGUCGUCGCGCAUCGAGGGCUCGAAAAAAUUGCCGGGCUCCGGCUCGGCUUUCAACGCGACCCCAGGUCAGGCGGGGUUACCCGCUGAAUUUAAGCAUAUCAAUAAGCGGAGGA
rnacentral:misc_RNA from 1 species